AUUUAAAUCACCUUCUCCAGAUCUUUCUAUUUCCUUUUAGAAUAUGGAGAAUUUAUGCUACCGACUGCAGAGGCACUAAGUAGUGACUAAAAGAACUUGCCUGACGCCGCGCUGCGGCCGCGGUCGGAGCAGGGGCGCCGGUCCCCGGCGCGAACCAAACUCCUUUCGCUUUCCGCACGCCCACGUCGGGCGUUGGCCGCGGUCCGGCUCCGCCGUGGGCAAGCAGGAAUCGCGGUUCAGCCACUGGCGCAGAUCCUACCAAACGUGGAUCUGGCGUCUAAGGACAGAAGUUAAGGGGGAAGAAAGGUUCUUUUGCGUGUUGUUUUCCGAUUGCUUUUAUUUCUCUCCCGCGCAAUCCGCGGAGCCGCCGCGUAAGAUCAGUUGUUGUUUCCUGCUGCGGGAGCAGCGCCGCGGCGAGAUAGGUGACGCCAUCUCGCAGGCAGCAGCAGCGCCCGCGGUGGCAGUCCCUCUCCUGCACAGGUGUCGAUCGGGCAGCAGCAGCCCGCGUAGUUGGAGCGGCAGCGCGGAGCAGCGGCUCGGUGGCAGCGGGGCUUUCCCGUCGCCGGGACGACAGCUGUUGCCGCGCUGCGCAGGCUGUCUUUUCUCUCGCAGCACCGGCUCGUGUCGGAGCUGCUGGCUUUGGAGCUGGCGCCGGCCGGGAUGCAAGAGGAGCGGGAUGCAAGGGGAAACACUGACAAAAGAACCGGGAAGCUGGGAAAAGCAGCGGCUUUUAAGCCAAAGAGAGUGGGAAAUCGUGCAACCUUCCAGACUCAGGGCAUCAAUCAUUCCAACUGCCAUGGCUAGACAACCCAAACCCUAGACUACACAUCUUCAAACUGCUAUCCCAACCUGACAGCCAAGAGACCAAACACACUGCAACAGGAGCUUCAAAACUCCUACCGACACCCACUGCCACACUUGCCUAUCAAUUCCUUAAAGCAAAAUCACCCUGGAAGGCCACCCUGGAAAGAAUGAAAUUCAGUCGAGUGCUUUUCACUGCAAUCACCAUUCUGCUCCAUCCGUGGAUAGCAGAAGGGUGCAUGGUGCAACAACCGACAGAAGAUGUAUGGCUGACUCUGGCGAAAACUCUGAAACAAGAUAAGAUCUGCUUGUCAAUGGGCAGCGUGGACAAUCCUCUAUCUACGUGCCUGGUGGGAAUGCCUCUGUCGCAAAAAGAUUAUCCAUAUGCGGGGAAGAAACCAAAUCCGGUUGACACCUGGGACACCUGGACAAAGAUUUUACCACAUGCCACACAAGAGCCUCAGGAGUUAGAUCUCUUGGGCUCUGCUCCAGCUACAUACUGUGUUAGGUUUUUCUAUCUACAAAAGAUACCCAUUUGGCAUGAUUCUGCAGUCUCAGGGACAAUAACUCAGAAAGAUGUAACACCAAAUAGCAGAAAAUAUAAUUCAGCCACAUGGUGCAGCUAUACCUCUAGCACACCAUCUGAGUCCAGUGAUGUUCCCAGAGUGUCACCGAGAGGUGUGUUUCUUAUCUGCAGCAACAGAGUGUGGGCAGGGAUCCCAUCAAAGAUCAAAGGAGGUCCCUGCAGCCUCGGACAGCUGACUGUCCUCACCCCAAACACAUCACAAAUUAUAAAUUGGCAGAAUCAAGAAGGAUUGGCACUCAAAAAGAGAUCUUACAGUCAAUUCGACCCAAAUUGCAAUGACAAAAUUUAUGGAUUGGAGCGAAUCCAAAAGAGUCUCUGCAUCCAUUUUUCUACCUUGGUACGCAGCUGCAAAGGCUCUCGGUGAAAUUUCCCACCUGGGGUGUUGGCUCAGCCGUCAGGCCAAAGCUGCCUCCGCAGCCCUGUCAGAUCUGCUCACGGAAGAAGAAACCACCAGGCACGCCACCCUACAAAAUAGAGCUGCCAUUGAUUUUCUCCUUCUGGCGCACGGUCACAGCUGUCAGGACUUUGCUGGUCUGUGCUGCUUUAAUUUAACAUCUAAAAGUACCUCCAUACACGCCAGCAUUCAGCAAAUUCGAAACCAAGUGCAAGACCUCAUGACGGAGACCAGAGACAUCAAUGUAGUACAUAAAGCACUCACACAGUGGGGAAUCCCUGGGUGGCUUGUACCAAUUCUCAAAAAUUUGGUGUGGAUUUUAGUAGUCAUUUUCAUUAUAAUGGUUGCCCUGAGUUGUUUCAAAAGAGCAAUGGAAAAGUCACUUGGAAAAAUUUAUUUAAUAAACAAAGAAGAGGGAGAUGUGAGGGUCAGGGAUGAGAAAGCUAUCUCAGGAAUGCCCUGGGAAAGCACCGUUGUCUAAGUCAGGGAAAAUUCAUUCCUUACCCAAGGUUCAAAUGCUGUACUCCCUUCCACAUCCCACUGAUUCUGUACCCUUUGUAUCUUUCAUUAGUUACUCCUGUGAAAAAUUUUCCCCUCCCAUCCCCCUCCAUGUAGCUGUGCCCAAAAUCUGUAACUUUCCCCAGAGAUCUCGCACUCGCCCUGGUGUCCUCUGCUGGUUGUUACUGACCCUGCUGUCUCUCCGGUCCACCGCCUGUCCCUCAGCCUACCCUCCGUGUUUUCCUACCCCUUUGGACCCUGCAAUAAAUCAGUUGCAAUGA